UGAUGAAGAAUGCGUCUGAAAAUUCCAAGUUUCUAAUCAAAGUUUGGUCUUUCUGGUGACCUGACCCCAUCUUGAGGCUACUGAGGAACCCAGCAAGCAUCACCUCAUUAGAACAAAAGAUACUGCUGUCACUCAAGGAACUGCAAGGGAUUUAGGAGUUAUGUGUCAGAAACCGUGAUCAAAGACCAAGUAUUAGAACAAAAGAUGCUCCUACCAUCACUUAGGAAAUUACAAGUCUCUGGGGAGCUCUGUGCCAGACCGGUUGUCAUUCAAAUUUACAUUGGAAAAACAUGUAAGUCCUACUGAAGAGGAUGCAAGCACUGGCAACAUAGGGAGAGAGAUACCUCUGUGGAAUCCAGGAGCAUGUAAGCCUGGGGCUGAAACAGCACCCAAGAAAGAGACUGAACCACGGACAAUGGCUGUUGUAAGAUAAGAAAUAUCCAACCAGGGGAAUGAGCAGAAAGAGAAUGCCAGGUCAUGGAAGCUAACAUGAGAAUAAGAGACAUGCUGCUGAUUGGAUAAGUCAAAAUACUCAGAGCUGAUGAAAAUGGCAUAAGGUUAGAGGUAUCAAGAUGCUUUGCAUUAUGAAUAAGCAACACCCAC